rnacentral:rRNA from 1 species
CUACGGGAGGCAGCAGCAGGGAAUAUUGCACAAUGGACGGAAGUCUGAUGCAGCGACGCCGCGUGGAUGAUGAAGGCCCUCGGGUUGUAAAAUCCUUUUCAGGGGGACGAGGAAGGACGGUACCCUUGGAAUAAGCGUCGGCUAACUACGUGCCAGCAGCCGCGGUAAGACGUAGGACGCAAGCGUUAUCCGGAUUUACUGGGCGUAAAGCGUCUGUAGGCGGAAUGGUAAGGUGGACGUGAAAGCUCCGGGCUCAACCCGGAGAGGUCGUUCAAUACUGCCAAACUAGAGGGCACCAGAGGAGCGUGGAAUUUCCGGUGUAGCGGUAAAAUGCGCAGAUAUCGGAAGGAACACCAAUGGCGAAGGCAGCGCUCUGGGAUGAACCUGACGCUAAGAGACGAAAGCUAGGGGAGCGAACAGGAUUAGAUACCCCGGUAGUC